rnacentral:sRNA from 1 species
UAUUGCUGCGGUCCUUGAUGAAGAGG